UGGCAUAAUCAGCAGGGGCUACCAUC
rnacentral:piRNA from 1 species